CUUGCAAACUUAUGAAUAAGAGGUCCCGCCUGCCCUGUGACUAUAUGUUUAACGGCCGCGGUAUCUUAACCGUGCGAAGGUAGCGCAAUCACUUGUCUUUUAAAUGGAGACCUGUAUGAAUGGCAUAACGAGGGCUUAACUGUCUCCUUUCUCAAGUCAAUGAAAUUGAUCUCCCCGUGCAGAAGCGGGGAUUAACACAUAAGACGAGAAGACCCUAUGGAGCUUUAGACAUAAGAUAGAUUACCUUAAUCAACCCAGAACAAAGGGCGGAACCAGAGGUAAACCUUUCCAACGUCUUUGGUUGGGGCGACCGUGGGGUAAAACAAAACCCCCAUGUGGAAUAGGAGCACCUCUCCUUCAACCUAGAGCUCCCGCUCUAAGGAACAGAAUUUCUGACCAAUUAAUGAUCCGGCAAUGCCGAUCAACGGACCGAGUUACCCUAGGGAUAACAGCGCAAUCCCCUUUUAGAGCCCAUAUCGACAAGGGGGUUUACGACCUCGAUGUUGGAUCAGGACAUCUAAUGGUGCAGCCGCUAUUAAGGGUUCGAGUUCAACGAUUA
rnacentral:rRNA from 1 species